UUGUCAAACCUGCAUCCUGAGCAAAUAAAUUACCUGAUUCCGAAGCAAGAAUAUAGCCUCCAAGCCUGUCCGAGCCUAGAUUCGCCAGCCCAAAAAUCCAGCCUGCCCAAUUCUGAUAUCUCCUCCUAAGCAAACCUCGUCGACUAUCAGCCUUUCCCAGCGUCAGCUCGACGCUGCACAAGACUAGCAUACUACAAUAGAAUUGAAAGCACCUGUUAUUUGCCAUUGCUUUGCACAGUCUUUGAAUUCAAGCGCUUGGGGUUGUGAUCGGCCAUAUCAAUUGUGACGGUUCGUAAGUAUAUACCUUUUCUUGAUUUGUGGGUUGAGCCAGUAUUAUAUGCACUUGUACUCCUGCAGGUUAUAUUUUGGGUGUUUGAUGCAAGUGAUGAUCGGGUUUGGUUUGGUUGUGAAAAUGUCUUCCGCUGGUAUCAUUAUAUAUAAAGGUCGUCAAAAAUCAGACCCAAUAUUGCACACACUCUUGUUUGGUCAUAGAUAUUUUUGUGUUCUGCCUUAAUUUAUUGUCAAGAUAUUGGUGGUGUUUGAUGCGAGUGAUCAUUGUUUUUAGUUUGGUAUUGAGAGUUUUUCCGCUGGUAUAGUUAUAGAGGUUGUCAAUCUGGAAGUGGUUUUGGUUAAGCAUGUUGAUGGUAAAAAUGAGAAAUCAGAGGUCUCAUCACUUGUCCCCUUCUCUCCUAUUGUCUUUAAGUCCACCAUUUUUUACAAUUUGGGGUCUCCUGCCUGCAAUUUAGUGUUGCUUAUAACGAAUGCCCACUAAAUUUUAACUUACAAGGUUCCUAAUUUGCAAACACCUUUUCAUGUGUAAGAUAGGUUCUCUAUGAGUUCCAAGAGAAUUGAUGUCUAUCUCACACAUAUGUGUAACCUUUUACAGGGUUAUUAAUGGUCCUUCUUAACAGGAUUGAUGCUGUUGGUGGCCUCAGGGGCUAAGCUAGAGUAAUUCUCUGAAAUUCUAAAAGUCAUUUUGGAUUAAUCACUAUUGGUUAACCGCCAUUGCUCAUGUAACUUGUGUAUUCCCUUUCUGGUCUGAUCGAUGAUCCCACCAAGCUCCCAAAAUGGAAUUUUGUUGGAUCUUGGAUUUCGCCAAUCUCUUACAUUUGUUCUGCUUACUACCAUUUUUAUGCAUUGCAAGGUUCGUGCCUUCCUGAAUGCAUACCUUGUUGUUGCACAGCUUUUUUCUUUGUGCUACCUGUAAUUAUCAGAUUAUAUAGGCCAAAAAAAUCAGUUUGAAAUUACAGUUAUACCCAUGAUAUGCUGGACGAUCAGUGUUCUCAAUCAUAUUGGAUGGAAUUCCUUCAGCUGUUGAUUAUUCUUGUACAGCCUAUUGGAUCGUCUCAGUUUUUGAUUGCAUCGUCAAGGUAUAUAUGUCUUCUCCGGUUGGCGCUUACACUACCUUGUAUAUCUGUACACACUGGUGUCCUUGUUCGAUGCACCAGGUGUUUGAGUAUGAAUACCCAGAGGAUCAAAAUAAAGUUAGAUUUCCAGAAUUUGCUUAGACCUUCGUGCGCACUAACCAUUGGUACUCUAUUUACAUUGUUUUGUGCUGCACUUCUAAUACCUUAUUACUGUCACCAUUUUUCAGGAUAGUAUUGCUUGUAUAUUUUUAUUUGUGGGAUCAUUUGUUAGCUGAAGGAUUUUAAGUUGUAUGCAAUCUAAUGUGCGGGGAUGGGAUUAUGACCAGGUUAUUUAUAAGUCGUUAAAGCUGUUUGAAAGCGACUGAACUUUUAGAUAGAUGCAUCCUUGGGGUUUUAUAAUUGUGUUGGCUUAUAUUGAUAUUGACAGAUAUGUGAAAGAAGAUACAAACUAUCUGCUGUAGAUCUAUAAUCUGAUGAAAUAGAGCUUUCUCAUUUUCUACUGAAUUUGAGACUUCUGAUAUCUCUUUUAUCGAAACAAGAUGUCAAUCUAUCUUUUAUGAGCUUCAUGUAGUUGUUUGUAAUUUUGCAGAGGAGUUCAUUAUUUCUGAGGUUAGUACGCUUAUGUGUUCUAAUCAGUAUACAAAUAUGAGAUUGCUUUGCAGAAUAUGAACAAGAUAUAUAUCAAUAGUGCAGCAGCAUAAAGCCUUUAUCGACCAAAAUGUUUUGUCAGGUUACUAUUUAGUUCAUCCUUGAAAUUACUGUUUCCAGAUGAUUACAAGAAUGAAGGGGAUGUGCUACACUGCUACCAGAUGAAAUCUAAAUCAGGACAUGCUAAUAAAAAUGGUCCUCUCAUUACUAUUAUCAAGGUAAUUGUCAUGUUAUAUAUUACUACAUAUAUGGUUUCCUGUUCCUAGCGAUUACAUGUUUAGAGCCUUGGUGGAAAUUAACAUAUUUUAUUAUUAUUGGUGUCCAAAGAUAGAGUAGAUGAUCUCAUUAUAACUUCUCCAGUUGUACAUAGUAGAAAUAAUAAGACCAAUUACCAUCUCACUAGGAUAUUAGUAACAUAACAAAAAGAAAUUGGUAGUUUAGUUUGCUUAAAAGUUCUUCUACCAAUAAUAUACGCUCGAUAACCUCUAUCUUCUCACCUCCAAAGUCUAUUUCUGAUUAUCUGUAUAAAGUAUAAUGUUAGAGAAGGCUGGAGCCUUUCUGCCAAGCUGGGACUUGCUCAUCUUUUCUUGAAAAUAAAACGUCGCUAAUUAUCACGGUUUCGUCUUCAUUCCCUGAUCUUGUCAGGAAUACAAUAUAUUUACAUUUUAUGGGUCUUUUUAUUAAUUUCUUUAGAUGAUUGCAUGUGCCAAUAUAGGGAUCACAAUUGCUUCCUCAUGUGUUUCUUUAUCUGAUGUCAACCACUUCUUGGUGAGGUAGGUUGAAAAGAAAAUUCACUUAAAAACUGAAAACUAUAUCUGAUGGUUAUUAAAGUAAUGCAAUAUUAAUAUAUGGUAUAUGCUGGUUAGCUUGUGAUUAUAGGCAUGUCCUUUGCUAUUUUAAUGCAUUUAUACUUAUUCUUGUUUAAGGUGCAUAUAUGCAUGAUCUUUACAAACUCUAAUGCAGUAUAUGUGAAGAACGUGUGGAUAAUGUAUAUAACUUGAAUAGAAGCCACUGAGUUGGGGUUUUCUAUGUUAUGUUUAAUUGGGUACGGGUCCAUUAUUUAAUGUUACUUCUUCGGUUAAAUAUUUGUAAAGACUGUGACUGAGAGCUUUGAACUCACAUCUCAAAGCUUAGAUCGACAAAGCUUUGUAUCUUCUUCCGAUCAGAACUCCUCUAUCAUGUCGGUGCCAAUUCUUCUGAGGUAAAACCCAAAUUCUUUUUUUCCUCCUCCUGAUUGUUUGGUCAUCAGGUUUAUUAUUUUUGGGGUCUUGAAUAUCUCUUGCACUUGCCUUUUAAUUUGAUAUGGGGUGUGUGAAAAUUAGCUUUCUUGAUGUUUAGGAGUCUGUUUAAAAGGAAUGAAUUGCUCAGAUCUUAGUUUGCCGUAUAUGGAGGCUCCCACAGUGUCACUCUAGGUUAGAUUAUGAAUUGAGGUGGUAACCGCUUUCAGGGUUCUAUCAGCUUGCCCUGCAAUUUGAUUUGGGGUUAAUAAGGGUAAAAUGUUAGCAUGUGAUGGCUUUACGUGUACGUGUAUGCAGUGGCAUGCGCUUAAAUAUGAGUUUAAUAGUUCUUGAAUGAUUUGAUCGAGUGAGUUCCAAGUUCUGCUACUCCUACAAAUAUUUAUAUUCAUAUCACACAGUGUGUUACUCUUUUGUGGAGAAUUUUAUAUAAUAGCAGUUCAAAUUCUUUCCAACUCCGCAAUUUUGUUUUUGCAUAGGUAGUUUCUUUUUGUUUGUGUUAAUUUAUCAGUCCUCAAGCAAUAUAAGUAUCCAUUCAGAAGGGGUAACCACAUAUUGGUAAGUCAAGUUCACUUUAUUUUGUCUAAACCAUUUUAAUGUUAACUUGCACAAAAGAAAUUAUAAUGAAAAACAAACAACCUGGUUUGGACUUGUAGUGUACAAGAUUAACUGGUGAAGCCAAUAAUUAUCGGUCCAUUUCCUAUACAGGUCAUGUGCGAUACCUACACACCAGCUCAUGAACCAAUUCUUGCAAACAAGAGAUGUAAUGCGGCUAAGAUUUUGAGCCACCCUGAUUUGCAGCUGAAGUUCCUUGGUUCGGUAUUGAGCAAGAAUACACCCUGUUGAAGAAAGAGGUCAACUGGCCUAUUGGGUGGCCUAUCGAAGGAUGUCUAGGACGGCAGGGUCCUUACAACUGUGGUAUUGGUGCUGAUAAAGCUUUUGGACGGGACAUAGUUGAUGCUCAUUACAAAGCAUGUCUAUAGGCUGGUAUUAACAUAAGCGGCAUAAAUGGGGAGCUUAUGCCUGGACAGAUAUUGCUUCUGAUCUUCGCGCCAAGUGGUGGGAUAACAGCCGUUCAUCCAUGGCGAAAGAAUACAUAAACAUCUUCAGUGGGAUCAACUAAAACAUCUGCUUCAAUCUGGAAAGGAGAAGGUGCAUGUUUCCUUGGUAAUACAAUCUUUUCAUGGUCAGGCCAGAGUGAGAGGAAAAAUAUCUGCUGGUCUGUUUCUGUCUGAGCACAUGCAAACCUCCACCUCGACAAGACUCCAUAACUACAAAUGACAAUUAAUCUGAAACAAACUAUGUGUAAAGUAGGCAGAAAAGGAAGGUCCGUAAUCUUCAAUAUUCUCAGUACGCGAAAUGAAGUUCUGUUACUGUUAUAUUCCAAGGGGCACAAAGAAGUGUCCUCAAGUUCAAUUUCAAAAGAUUUAAAAGCAACACAUAACAUGUUUUUGUUUUGCCUUUUCCUGGGGACCACUGAUCAGUUCCACUGAAGGAAUGUGCUCACACUUCAUCUUAAAAUGAAAUCCAGGGUAAUAGCAGGUUGGUUCAUAACAACCUAACAAUGUUGCUACAACAUAGCAGUUUUGGCAGAGGUGCGCCUUUCUUCUGAGCA